GCACUGCUGAGGAGUCUCAACAUAAGACGAAACGGUCGUCCAGUAC
rnacentral:hammerhead_ribozyme from 1 species